rnacentral:lncRNA from 1 species
GCCGUCGCUCUCCAACGCCAGCCCAGCGCCGCCUCUCGCUCGCCGAGCUCCAGCCAAAGGAGAAGCGGGGUAAGUAAGGAGGUCUCUAUACCACGGCUCGUAGAAAGCCGACUGCCCGCAAAUCGACCGGCAAAUCGACCGGUGGCAAAGCACCCGGGAAGCAACUGGCUACAAAAGCCUCUCGCAAGAGUGCUCCCACUACUGGAGGGGUGAAGAAACCUCAUCGUUACAGGCCUGGUACUGUGGCACUCCGUGAAAUUAGACGUUAUCAGAAGUCCGCUGAACUUCUGAUUCGCAAACUUCCCUUCCAGCGUCUGGUGCGAGAAAUUGCUCAGGACUUUUAAAACAGAUCUGCGCUUCCAGAGAGCAGCUAUAGUUGCUUUGCAAGUGAGGCCUAUCUGGUUGGCCUUUUUGAAGACAACAACCUGUGGGCUAUCCAUGCCAAACGUGUAACAAUUAUGCCAAAAGACAUCC